AGUGAACGCUGGCGGCAGGCCUAACACAUGCAAGUCGAACGGCAGCACAGGAGAGCUUGCUCUCUGGGUGGCGAGUGGCGGACGGGUGAGGAAUACAUCGGAAUCUACCUUUUCGUGGGGGAUAACGUAGGGAAACUUACGCUAAUACCGCAUACGACCUUCGGGUGAAAGCAGGGGACCUUCGGGCCUUGCGCGAUUAGAUGAGCCGAUGUCGGAUUAGCUAGUUGGUGAGGUAAAGGCUCACCAAGGCGACGAUCCGUAGCUGGUCUGGGAGGAUGAUCAGCCACACUGGAACUGAGACACGGGCCAGACUCCUACGGGAGGCAGCAGUGGGGAAUAUUGGACAAUGGGCGCAAGCCUGAUCCAGCCAUGCCGCGUGGGUGAAGAAGGCCUUCGGGUUGUAAAGCCCUUUUGUUGGGAAAGAAAAGCAGUCGAUUAAUACUCGAUUGUUCUGACGGUACCCAAAGAAUAAGCACCGGCUAACUUCGUGCCAGCCGCCGCAGUAACAC
rnacentral:rRNA from 1 species